rnacentral:lncRNA from 1 species
UAGACCUGUUAGAGUGCUAAGGAGAAGACAAGUUAUUAGCACCCAAAAGAAGCACCAGUGGGGAUGGAAAUACAAGGUUGACAUUCGCUGAGCUGUUUUUUUUUUCCCAGGGAAAUGGUUAUUCUUGAUAUUUUGAGCAAACUCUUCUUCUCUGUUUGAUCAGUGCCCAGAACAAGGAAACACAGACCUUCUCUUUCCAGUACCUCCUAUCUAUCUAGAUAAUAUGGAAGCCAGGGAGAAGAAUGGGAACCCAAGAUCUAUGAGCCCUUAUGGCAUAUGAAAAGUGGGUGUUAUCUGAAAAGUAGAACUCUAGAUGAAACCAGGCC